GUUGUCGUCAUUUUCUCAUGCCUCCCAAAGAUUUUGGCUCAAAGUAGUCCGAAAAGAUUUUGGAUUAAGUCUCAGAAACAUAAGCUGAUAUGCUUUUAGUUUUAUAUGAUUCUGUGAAAACUUAAAAAUAAAAUCCUGAAUUGAUAUUUUAUUCUACUUUUUAUUUUUUAGAGUCAGAGUCUUGCUCUGUCCACCAGGCAACCCCACACUCCUGGCCUCAAGUGAUCCUCCUGCCUCAGUCUGCCAAGUAGCUAGGACUGCAGGUGCACCACCAUGCCUGGCUAACUUUUAAAAUCUUUUUUGUAGAAACAGAGUCUUGCUAUGUGGCCAAGUUGGUCUUGAACUCCUGGCCUUGAGUGAUCCUCCCACCUCUACCUCCCGAAGCACUGUUAUUAUAGGUAAGAGCCACGGCACCUGGCUUCUGUCUUUACGAAAAUCGGCCAUUUGAUUUGUCAUUUCCACAUCACCAUUAAUGUUUGGUUAAAUGUGAGGUUGUAGGUAGUUUCUAUUUAAACAUCAGGACUUAGUUAUGCCUGUUGUAUCAAUCAAUGCAUAAAUGUGAAGCCAGAGGUGACAACAUUUGAGUAGGAAUUUAAGUUGUUUUAAAUAAUUUCUAGGGCAUUGUGAUGCAAAUAUUUGCAUGUAAUCCAAUACAAAUGUCAAUAAUAUUUUUGAGGAUAAUGAUACAGAGGACAUUUUACUAUAGGAAUAAAAUCAAGGAAAGAAUUUUGACAAAAGAAAGAACUCAUUUGAAACAAUGCCCAAGCCUCUGCUUCAAGUCAACAGGGAAGGAGAACGGCACCUACCUCACAUUAGAAGCCUGCUGCAGUCAUGUAAAGAAGGUAACCAUGGCAAGAAACUGCUUGUUUCCAUGCAUAAUGUAUUUAACUUAGAGACUGGCAUGGGCCUUAGAGGAAGCCCUAAUGAUGCACUGUUCAAAACCAGAAAGAUGUGAGAGGGAUGUGCCGGUGCUGAGAUUUCCUUCAAGGCUCUGAAAGCUGGAAGCGAGACAGAGAUCUCCUGCAGAGCAUCUCUCCUCACUGAUACCUGAAACACGUGCUGGCCCUGAUUCCUUUAAACAUCAGAAAUGUGGUGUCAAGGCUCUGGGUGUCCAAGUGGUGUGAGCAGGUCAUGGGAUCCUGGAGUCCAGCUAGAACAUAGGAAAGAAGUCUGAGUUCCGCAGGUACUCUUGCCAGACCCCGGGUUUAUUCUGCUCCGAUCCUGAUGCACGCAGGGCAACACACAAGGAGAGAGGCCUGCUGCUGUAUUUUAAUGGAUCGUCUCAGCUGGCAUCUCAUUUCCAAUACUGCACUAGGUACACAUACAGGAUUUUAAAAAUUUUUUUAUAUUUGUGAAACAGAGAAAUCUGCCACAAGAAAAAUGCUGUGAAAUGGAAAACAAAAACAAAAAACAAACAAACAAAAAAACAUAAAGCAGAGAAUCUCUAGAAGUGAGUGUGAAAGAAGUGUUGAGAUGAAGAAUGUUCCAGAGAAAGCUGCCUCCUUUCUUUAUGAAUGAAGUCGUGACUUUCAAUUGCAGGCCUGUGUUCUGCAAUGAGCUUAUGGGUCCCAAUCUGAAAUGUCAUGCUUUUGUCCAAACUACAUAGGACUUAUUUUUUACACAAAUAAUCAGAUGAAGAUUCCCCUAUUGGGAAAAAGAACAAUAUUCUUGAAACAUAAACAUUAGCAGUAAUAUGAAGAAAGCUGUAAGAAAAAUAAACUGCCCUUUAGAAUGUCUUUUUGUAAAUAGAAGCAAUGUCUUCUGUUGAAACCACCUCUGCCUUUUACAAAGCUGCUGUCUAUAAUUCAAUUAUUUCUCUGCCACGCAUUGAACACCGGUAGCUUCAUCUUUUGAUUUUCUAGGGUUUGUUUGAUCAGAAUCUCUGAAAAUGCACUCAUGUGAACUUCUGUCAAGUGCCUGAAUGACAGCAAAAGAAUGUUUGGAGAUGGAAAAAAUCAGUGCAUAUGGGACUGAGUGACAACUUCUUAAUGGAAACCUAAAAAGGGAGAUUUCUAGCCAAAAUGUUUAAUUACUGCUUAUUUGAGAGAGGCCAAGCCAUCUGUUGGCUGGGAUCUUGUCCCCACCUUUGGGGAUUGCCUGGUGAUUGGUUGGCCAUGUGUAAGAGAACCAUCUCCAACUGACAUCUGUCAUCAGUCAAACACCCAACUGUAAAGAUGAGCAAAGUUGCUAUCGGCUGUCAAUGGGCCAUAUGGAGCAAUGAGUAAACGAACAGAAAGCAACCACAUCACACUGACUCCGGGUGUUUAAACAGGCAAACCAACAUGCCACUCACCAGCCCAGCCACCACAUCUAGAUUGCAGCC
rnacentral:lncRNA from 1 species